GUGAGGAAUUUUCCGCAAUGGGCGAAAGCCUGACGGAGCAAUGCCGCGUGAAGGAUGAAGGCCUAUGGGUUGUAAACUUCUUUUCUCAGAAAAGAAUUAUGACGGUAUCUGAGGAAUAAGCAUCGGCUAACUCUGUGCCAGCAGCCGCGGUAAGACAGAGGAUGCAAGCGUUAUCCGGAAUGAUUGGGCGUAAAGCGUCUGUAGGUUGUUUAAAAAGUAUUCUGUCAAAGAUUAGGGCUUAACCCUAGAUAGGCAGAAUAAACUUUUUAGCUAGAGUUUGGUAGAGGCAGAGGGAAUUCCCGGUGGAGCGGUGAAAUGCGUAGAUAUCGGGAGGAACACCAAAGGCGAAGGCACUCUGCUGGGCCAAUACUAACACUGAGAGACGAAAGCGAGGGGAGCAAAUGGGAUUAGAAACCCCGGUAGUCC
rnacentral:rRNA from 1 species